UACGUAGGGGGCAAGCGUUGUCCGGAAUCAUUGGGCGUAAAGCGCGUGUAGGCGGUUCGGUAAGUCUGCUGUGAAAGUCCAGGGCUCAACCCUGGGAUGUCGUUGGAUACUGUCGGACUAGAGUACGGAAGAGGCGAGUGGAAUUCCCGGUGUAGCGGUGAAAUGCGCAGAGAUCGGGAGGAACACCAAUUGCGAAGGCAGCUCGUUGGGACGUCACUGACGCUGAGACGCGAAAGCGUGGGGAGCAAACAGG
rnacentral:rRNA from 1 species